ensembl:lncRNA
AUGGUAACGUCUCUGCCAACAGUCGGUGAGUGUAAUUUGUUGACGGUCCCUAAAGCAGGUAGCAGCCAGAACGUAAAUGACGUUGUUGCACAGACAUUGAUGGCGACAACAUGUGUUUGUGAUUUUUCGCGAUACGGUGUCCUAAACCGUCCUCAACAUACUAAGCCCGGGAGAUUUGGAGGUACCUGGUCAGGUCUUGGUCAGCCUUCAAAUCCCAGAUGUGGAGACUGCAGGGAUACCUCACAGAGAAGACACUAAAGAGUCAUCUCUCAUUCAUCGAGUGGACUCAUUGGUUUGCGAAUGACCACAAAGAUGCUCCCAUAGGCAGAUUGCUGCAUGGCAUUCACCACUUGUUCAAAUUGUAGAGGUUGAAGCAGUCUUCCCUGUGGUCACUUGCCAUAACACUGUCAUGUGUUUUAUGAAAACACCAUCAGUAACAUUUAAAUUGAGUUGAUGUGGACGGCUCUUUUUUUUGUCCGAUUUUUUCAGUGUUCAGUGCCUGUUUGUGAGAUAUGCAUUGUUUGACAGAUAAGCCUUUGAUUUUGUUUAAUUUUAAUGUCUUUCAUCAACCGUGGUUUGGGGUUUUAUAACAACAAUUAAAGUGCUUAACUACUGGUGAACGAUGUUGCAGAACAUAUAUGGUUUGUGUUGAUUGCAUGGAAAAGGGAAUAAUGUAUUACAAAUUAUAUGGUAAGAACCUGGUAAUACCAUGGAAAAAAACGAGGCUUCCUUUUACAGUACAGUUUCAGCUUAAUUACUGGGUAAAUUGUCGUGUUUUACUUGGUAACGUUGCAGAACGUACAUGGUACAAGUUUAUGUUGACUGCAUGGAAAAGGGAAUAAUGUAUUACAAAUUAUAUGGUAAGAACCUGGUAAUACAAUGGAAAAAAACGAGGCUUCCUUUUACAGUACAGUUUCAGCUUAAUUACUGGGUAAAUUGUCGUGUUUUACUUGGUAACGUCGCAGAACGUACAUGGUACAAGUUUGUGUUGACUGCAUGGAAAAGGGAAUAAUGUAUUACAAAUUAUAUGGUAAGAACCUGGUAAUACCAUGGAAACAAACAAGGCUUCCUUUUACAGUACAGUUUCAGCUUAAUUACUGGGUAAAUUGUCGUGUUUUACUUGGUAACGUCGCAGAACGUACAUGGUACAAGUUUGUGUUGACUGCAUGGAAAAGGGAAUAAUGUAUUACAAAUUAUAUGGUAAGAACCUGGUAUUACCAUGGAAACAAACAAGGCUUCCUUUUGCAGUACAGUUUCAGCUUAAUUACUGGGUAAAUUGUCGUGUUUUACUUGGUAACGUCGCAGAACGUACAUGGUACAAGUUUGUGUUGACUGCAUGGAAAAGGGAAUAAUGUAUUACAAAUUAUAUGGUAAGAACCUGGUAAUACCAUGGAAACAAACGAGGCUUCCUUUUACAGUACAGUUUCAGCUUAAUUACUGGGUAAAUUUUCGUGUUUUACUUGGUAACGUCGCAGAACGUACAUGGUACAAGUUUGUGUUGACUGCAUGGAUAAUGGAAUGUAUCUAUUAUAAAUUAUGUGGUAAGAACCUGGUAAUACCAUGGAAACA